GGGGGGAGCAAGCGUUGUUCGGAUUUACUGGGCGUAAAGGGCGCGUAGGCGGCCACCGCAAGUCGACUGUGAAAUCUCCGGGCUUAACCCGGAAAGGUCAGCCGAUACUGCGGGGCUAGAGUGCAGAAGGGGCAACUGGAAUUCUCGGUGUAGCGGUGAAAUGCGUAGAUAUCGAGAGGAACACCUGCGGCGAAGGCGGGUUGCUGGGCUGACACUGACGCUGAUGUGCGAAAGCUAGGGGAGCGAACGGGAUUAGAUACCCCGGUAGUCCUAGCCUUAAACGAUGAAUGCUUGGUGUCUGGGGUUUUAUAGUCCCCGGGUGCCGUCGCUAACGCUUUAAGCAUUCCGCCUGGGGAGUACGGUCGCAAGACUG
rnacentral:rRNA from 1 species